GGCAGGAAUAGUCAGAUUGUUACACCACAAACUCUGCCUUUUACCAUUCAAGCCUUUCAAUGGCGGAAGACGGUUCAGUGCUCUGAACCACCAGCGUUCCCAAGGCAGGAGAUCCUUGGGGUAGAGCCAUGUGUACGACUAUGAUGGUCCUCACCACCAUUGCUCUCAUCCUACGACAGAGGUUCUCCAACAAAAUCAAACCGCAGAGAGAGGAGUUUGAGGAAGACGUGCCAUACAUGAAGAGCAACGGAGAAACAGAAACAGAGAAAUGACUGGUGGCCUCUUGAUGUCAACACUUGUUCCACUGAUGCUACAGGACAGACUUC